rnacentral:misc_RNA from 1 species
AACGCACGAGACCUGCGGACCUGCGGAGGGAUCAUUACCAAUUUUUUAUUAUUAGUUUUCUAGUGCCCUUUUUUGUGGGGGUGCUAUUAACUACUAAUGUAAACGUUGAACUAGAUCAUUCAGUUGUGGGGUUUUUCUUCAUUGCUUGGAGACAAGUCGUGUUGUUACCCCACUCCUGAUAACCUUUUUCUAAUAUUACAAACUAUACAUACUACAAACAAACAAACAAAAGCUUUAAUA